rnacentral:rRNA from 1 species
GCAAGUCGAACGAGAAAGCUCUUCGGAGUGAGUACAGUGGCGCACGGGUGAGUAAUGCAUAGGAACGUACCAUAUGGUGGGGAAUAACAAUCGGAAACGGUUGCUAAUACCGCAUGAUGUCGCAAGACCAAAGGUGGCCUCUUCUUGAAAGCUACCGCCAUUUGAUCGGCCUAUGUCCCAUUAGCUUGUUGGCGGGGUAAUAGCCCACCAAGGCUACGAUGGGUAGCUGGUCUGAGAGGACGAUC